CAGGAAACAAGCCUGGGCCUCCUGCGUGGCAGGUGAGAAUUCUACCACUGAACCACCCAUGCACCCAACCGCCAUGAACCUUAUUGCCUAUAGGACAUUAUAUUAUGGCCAGUUUGGGAUCUAAGUUAGCAGUCUCGCAUCAACAUUCUUCCUUUCACUUACCACAGAUAAAUCAGUUUCUCUUAUGUUCCCUUGACUCAACUUUAUUACCCUGCUAGCACCCUUAUUGCCUGGAGAAUCCCAGGGAUGGAGGAGCCUGGUGGGCUGCCGUCUAUGGGGUCACACAAAGUCGGACACGACUGAAGCGACUUAGCAGCAGCAGCAGCAGCAGCAGCAGCAGCACCCUUAUUAAUGAAUUAAAUGAAUAUUUGACAUAGGCUCAUGAUGUAUGUUUGUGAGAGCUGUGUCUUUUAUCUUCUGGAAAUUACAAUGUGAAACUACCUUAGAGAAAAUGUGCAGAUGAGCAACACCAAACUCAGUCUUAGGGGUUUAGGGAAGAUUUCUCAGAUCAUCUAAAGUUAGACAUGAAAACUGAAGGGGUAGGCUAGGCAAAGAUGGAAGAGGGUGGUGUACUAGGGUGAGGGAAAUAGUCUAUGUUGAGGCUGGAGAUGAGACACCUCCAUCAGCAGGUCAUGAAGCCCAAGAGCAAGAGUGGGAGAGGCAAGGCGGGGAUGGGGGGCUGUAAGCAAGAGCAAACUCAUGGCUGGACCUCAGCGCCAUGCUGAGGAGCUUAGUCUUCAUAUAGAGGGCACUGGGAAGUCACUAGGAAUGUUUAAACAGGGAGAAGGCGUGACUGGAUUUGGCUCCUGGGUUCAGUUUCAUAACCCAGGUAGAAAUCUCGUUCAGCCAGAUAAUAAUUGCAGCUUGCUGAGGUUCCUUAUAAAAUUCCUCUAUAAUUCUGCUUCACUCCAGUUUCUACAACUACAAUUAGGAGAUAUAUUGAUGAAUAAAUUCAUGGAGAGAUUUUUAUAUAUAUACAUGAUGGAAUGCCCAAGAAUGGAUAUUUACCAUUUAUAAUGGUUUCUUUCUCUAUUUUGGUCCAGAGUAAAAAUAGAAAAAGCAGAUGUGCAAAAAAGCAAGGCUGACAUAUUUCAAAAUACAACUCAAAGUAAUGGGCAAAUCAGAGCUGAAGGAGGAGACUCCAGAGACCAGCUAUUAGAUGCAAUUGCUUUGGUCAGAAAGGUUUCUGCUUCUUUCAAGUUUCCUUGGCCAGAUGUUUCCAUUUCAGAGAAUAAAUUAUAAAGCAGUUAAGCACUUUUAGCACGAGGGAACAUUUAUUCUGUUAUGAUGCAGCUUGUUGAGGACUUUUCAGCAAUCAUAGCACUUUCGUUUCUUGUCUCAUUUCAUCCUCACAGGAGCGUAUGAGGCAGACGGGAUGAAUGCUACUAUGCCCAUUUCAUGCCUUGGAGAAACCAAGGCCCAGAAAGGUAAAAAUCUGCCAACCUGCAAGGUAGGCGAGGUAGGCUCGAAGAAUGGAAAAAGGAUCAUCUUGUUACCAGUGCUCUGAAUGACCGUGGAAGUUUUCCUUAUUACAUGUGAAAUAAAUGCGAUGACAGUAGCACUCACUUCCCACGCUAGUGAGGUUAGGCUGAAAAUCUUUCAAGCUAGGCUUCAGCAGUAAUUGAAUUGAAAACUUCCAGGUGCACAAACUUGGUUUAGAAAAGGCAGAGAAACCAAAGAUUAAAUUGCCAACAUCACUGGAUCAUUGAGGAAGCAAGGGAAUUCCAAAAACACAUUUCCUUCUGUUUCAUCGACUACGUUAAAGCCUUUGACUGUGCGCACCAUAACGAACUGUAGAAAACUCUUAGAGAGAUAGGAAUAUUAGACCACCUUACCUGUCUCCCGAGAAACCUGUAUGCGGGUCAAGAAGCAACAGUUAGAACUUUAUAUGGAACAACUGACUGGUUCAAAAUUGGGAAAGGAGUAUGACAGGCUGUAUAUUGUCACCCUGUUUAUUUAACUUACAUGCAGAGCACAUCAUGCAACAUACUGGGCUGUAUUAAUUACAAGCUGGAAUCAAGAUGGCCAGGAGAAGUAUCAACAACCCCAGAUAUGCAGAUGAUACCACUGUAAUGGGGGAAAGUAAAAAUGAAUUAAAGAGCCUCUUGAUGGGGGUGAAAGAGGAGAGUGAAAAAGCCAGCUUAAAACUCAAUAGUAAAAAAAACUAAGAUCAUGGUAUGUGGGUCCCAUCAUUUCAUGGCAAAUUGAAGGAGAAAAGGCGGAAGGACAGAUUUCCUCUUCCUGGGCUCUGUGGAUGGUGACUGCAGUCAUGAAAUUAGAAGAUGAUUGCUUCUUGGCAGGAAAGCUAUGACAAACCUAGACAGCAUAUUAAAAAGCAAAAACAUCAUUUUGCCGACAAAGGUCCGUAUAGUCAAGGCUAUGGUCUUUCCAGUAGUCCUAUAUGGAUGUGAGAGUUGGAACAUAAAGAAGCAGAGUACCAAAGAACUGAUGUUUUUGAACUGUGGUCCUGGAGAAAGACUAUUGAGAGUCCCCUGGACUGCAAGGAGAUCAAACCAGCCAGUCCUAAAGGAAAUCAACCCUGAAUACUCUUUGGAAACACUGAUGCUGAAGGUGAAGCUCCAGUACUUUGACGUCUGACGCAAAGAGCUGACUCAUCGGAAAAGGCCCUGAAACUGGGAAAGAUUGAAGGCAGAAGAAGACGACGGUGACAGAGGAUGAGAUGGUUGGAUGGCAUCGUUGUUUCAACGGACAUGAUCUUGGGCAAACUCUGGGAGAUGGUGAGGGACAGGGAGGCCUGGCGUGCUGCAGUCCACGGGGUCUCAAAGAGUCGGACACAACUUGGUGACUGAACGACAACAAAAUACAAUGAAGGAACAAUUCUGGUCUUUCUCCUUCACUAUGCAGUAAAUGCAUGAGUAUGCAUCUAUUUGCUUUUUCACUUGUUUGUCACUGUUACUAAAUUAUAAGUUCCAUAAGGGCAGUUUUCUAUUGCUCUAUGAAAAACAGCCCUAAAACUCAAUGGCUAGAAAACAGUAAUUUAUUGUUUCUCGUGAUUUUGUGAGUCAGAGAUUUGGACAGGGCUCAGCUGGUGGGGUCUUUUGUUCCACAUCCAGGCUCCACUACGUACAAGCUGUGUGAUCUUGGGACUCCAUGGGUACUUCGGCUUUCUGGAUUAGGUACAAGUCAAGAUGAAUGAGGCUGGUUUCAAAUUAUAGCUUUGGCUUGGAUUCUGUCUGCCUGGAUUUAUCAGCUUCUAUAGCCCAUAUGUCAGACAAAGUCUCUGUCAGUCAUUUGUUGCUGAUUUCUUUCAUCUGGAUUAUAAAGAGCUGUGAGGUUUGAUCAAUCCAUUAUUUGACUUACGGUAAGUUGUUUUCUUGACUUACCGUAAGUCAAAUAAUUGAUUUAUUUGAUAAUUUCCUUAACCGACCAUAAGUCAAAACAAUUGAUGCUUUUGAAUUGUGGUGCUGGAGAAGACUCCUGAGAGAUCAUUGUACAGCAAGGGGACAAACCAGUCAAUCUUAAAGGACGUCAAUCCUGAAUAUUCAUUGGAAGGACUGACGCUGAAGCUGAAGCUCCAAUCUUUAGCCACCUGAUGCAAAGAGCCGACUCACUGGAAAAGAUCCUCAUGCUGGAAAAGAUUGAGGGCAAGAGGGGAAGGGGGCAUCAGUGAAUGCGAUGGUGAGAUAACAUCACUGACUCAGUGGACGUGAGUUUGAGCAAAUUCUGGGAGGUAGAAUAGGACAGGGAAGCCUGGCAUGCUGCAGUUCAUGAGGUCGCAAAGAGUUGGACACAGCUUAACAACUGAACAACAACAAGUUAUUUCCUAACUAUCAAGAUUCCUGUAUUCACCAGGGUGAAACUCCUUAAUAGAGUGUUAUAGACCAUAUAUGGUUGAUCAGGUUGGGCACUGCACAAGGAUGCCCAGCCAAGUGGGCUGGUGUGAGCUGAAAUCUAACCCAGGCUCAGCUUACCAACGCAUGCAUCCUGGCUUGGACUGAAAUAGUAUCAUUUUCUAAUUUGCCAAAAAUUGUGACUUGGUAGGAUAUGUUGAAGGAUUUACCCUGUACAGGAUGCAGAAAAUCAUGUUGGCUAUUAAGACCUGAUCUGUAGCAUGCCGGUUUUCAAAAGAGGAGACAUUUGUUAUAAAAUAGCUGAAUUCAGAGCUAUAGAGAGUUCUUUCCACCUUUCAACCUCACUGCCAGUGCACACCUAGACUUCAAGUCUGCACCACAACAAGUCUGUUUCCAUUCUCCAUCAUGGAUACUUCCUGGAAGGGCUUGGAAUCAGGAUUAGCAUCUAUCUGGUUUAAAAAAUCCAAGCCAGUGCCCCCUUCUCUGUCCUUCACUGGGAACUGAGGUGAAGUGUCCUGAUGUCACUUGCAGGUUCAAACUCCCAGUGUUGUUCUUCUGGAAAGAUGGCUGUUCAGGCAAAUGGACAGUGGAGUGAGCCCUGCCUCUGCAGUCCACUGUCUCCUCCUUUGAAAUUCAUUCGUUUAUUCAAGAGGUACUUAUUGAGGGAGGCAGUUCAGUCUGGCAUCAUGCCACCUGAGUUCAAAUACAAGCAAGUUAUUUAACUCUUCUGGGCCUCAGUUUCUUCAUCUGUAAGACAGCAGGAAUGAUAGAUCCGCCCUCAAAUGGUUGUUUCGAGGACUAAACGAGUUAAUUUGUAUAAUCCAUGCCUGACACAGUACAUGCCUUUCAUAGAAGUUCCCUGCUGUUUAUGCAGCUUCUGCAAUGUGACGGGCUCUGGGCAACACUGACGGGGCUCUAGGCAGCCAUGCAGGGCACUCCAGGCCGUCUGCAAGUUCACCAUCCAGGAGGGACCAUCAGGGGGCUUCCUAGGUGCUGCUAGUAGUAAAGAUCUGCCUGCCAAAGCAGGUAGACAUAAGAGACGCAGGUUUGAUCUCUGGGUCGGGAAGAUCCCCUGGAGAAGGGCACAGCAACCCACUCCAGUAUUCUUGCCUGGAGAGUCCCUUGGACAGAUGAGCCUGGUGGGCUAUGGUCCACAGUCCACAGGGUCACAAAGAGUCAGAUACGACUGAAGUGACUUAUCACGCACGCACACACACAGGGACCAAAAGACAAGUAACUCCGUCACAUAUUAUGGGGCAGUGUACCAAAGCUUUUCAAACUUUAUAAGAAGCACCUGCGUUAGCCAUUUGCGAAAUGCACAUCAAAGCAAAAAUGAGACACCAUUUCAUACCCACUAGGAUGAUUAGAAUUUUAAAAAGCAGGUAAGGAUGUGGUAAGAUUGAGAAGAAAUCUGAAUCCCUAUUCUUUGCAGGUGAGAGUGUAAAUGGUGGCCGCUACUGUGGAAAACAGCCUGAUAGUUUCUCAGAAAGUUAGGCAUAAAAUUACCCCACGACUUAGAAAUUACAUUCCUAGAUGUAAAACCAGGAGAAAUGAAGACACAGGUCCACUCAAAAACUUGUAUCUGAAUGUUGAUAGUAAUAUUAUUUAUAAUAGGCAACACCAUAUGUGGUACGAUGACCCAAAUAUUCAUUAACUGAUGAGUGGGAAAAUAAAAUAUGAUAUAUCCACACCAUGGAACAUUGUUCAGGCAUAAAAAGAAAUGAAGUAUUGACGCAUGCUAUAACAUUGAAUAAUCUUGAAACUUUACGUGAAAGAAGUUGGUCACAGAGGACUACAUAUUGUAUGAUGGAAUUAAUAUGAAAUGUCCAGUAUGGGUCAAUUUAUAGAAACAGAAAUAGACCAGUGCCUACUCACACUUGGGGCAGAGGAGUGGGAAUCGGGGAGUGACAGCUAAAGGAUAUGGAGUUUCUUUUGGGGAGAGUGAAAGUGUUUUAGAAUUGAUUGUGGUAACAGUUACAUAAACUAAAGGACAUUGAAUGGCGUACUUUAAAUGGGUGAAUUUUAUGGCACAUGAUUUAUAUAUCAGUAAAUUUUUAAAAGAGAAGUACCUGGAGUGUUUGUUAAAAUGCAUGUUUUUUGAAGUCAGUAAGCCUGACUUCUCCAGCUCUGGUUUUCUUUCUCAAGAUUGUUUUGGCUAUUCAGGGUCUUGUGUGGUAUAAUACAAAUUUUAAGAUUUUUUUUUGUUUUAUAUCUGCAAAAAAAUGCCAUUGAUAAUUUGAUAGGGGUAAUCAAAACAGUAUGGCAUAAAGAUAGACUUAUAGAUCAAUGGAACAGGAUAGAAAGCCUAGAAAUAAGCUCACAUACCUAUGAUCAAUUAAUCUGUGAUAAAGGAGGCAAGAAUACACAUUGGAGAAAAGAUAGUCUCUUUAGUAAGUGAUGCUGGGAAAAGUGGACAGCCACAUGUAAAAGAAGGAAAUUAGAGCAUACUCUAACACCAUAAACAAAAAUAAACUCAAAAUUGUUUAAAGACUAAAAGGUAAGACUGGAUGCUAUAAAAUUCUUAGAACUCUGACAUAAAUCUUAGCAAAGUCUUUUUGGAUCCACCUUCUAUAGCAAAAACAACAACAACAACAAACAAAUGGAACAUAAUUAAACUUAAAAGCUUUUUCACAGCAAAGGAAAUCAUAAAAACAAAUGAAAAGACAACCCACAGAAUUGGAGAGAAAAUUCGUAAAUGAUGCAACUGACAAGGGAUUAACCUCUAAAAUAAACAAACAGCUCAUGCAGCUCGAUUUAAAAAAAAAGCUAGAAAAAAAAGGGUAGAUCUCAAUUUCUCCAAAGAAGACAUACAGAUGGCCAAAGAACAGAAGAUAAGAUCCUUACUGCUGCUAAUUUGAAAACUGCAAAUCAAAACUACAGUAAGCUCUCACCUCAUACAAGUCAGAAUAGCCAUCAUCGAAAAGUCUACAAACAAUAAAUGCAUAAAUGCUGGAGGGGGUAUGGAGAAAAGGGAAUGCUUCUGCUCUGUAAACUGGUAUAGCUACUAUGGAGAACAGUGCGGAGAUCCCUUAAGAAAUUAAAAACAAAGCUACUGUGUGAUCCAACAGUCCCAUUCCUGGGCAUAUAUCGACAGAAAACCAUAAUUUGAAAAGAUACAUGCAGCCGAGUGUUCACUGCAGCACUGUUUACAAUAGCCAAGCUAUGGAAGCAACCUAAAUGUCCAUCAACGGAUGAAUGGAUAAAGAAGAGGAACAAUGGAAUAUCACUUAGCCAUAAAAGGAAUAAUGCCAUUUGUAGCAACAUGGAUGGACCUAGAGAUUAUCACACUAAGCGAAGUCAAACACAGAAAGACAACUAUCCUGAUAUCACUUAUAUGUGGGUUCUUAAAAAAUGAUACAAAUGAUACAAAUGAACUUAUUCACAAAACAGAGGCACAGACUUAGCAAACAAACUUAUGGGUUACCAAAGGGGAGAGGUGAAAGAGAGGGAUAAAUUAGGAGGUUGGGAUUAACAUAUACACACCUCCCUAUAUAAAAGUAGAUAAUCAACAAGGGCCUACUGUACAGCACAUAGAACUCUACUCAAUACUCUGUAAUAACCUAUAUAUGAAAAGAAUGUGAACAAAAUAGACAUAUGGAUAUGUAUAUGCAAAUCAAUUUGCUGUAUACCUGAAACUAACACAACAGUGUAAAUCAACUAUAUUCCAGCAUAAAAACAGUUUUAAUGCACAUUUUCUGUACCCUCUUGUUUCAAUUUUGAUUCAAGUCUGGGGUGAGUUUAUAUAAUAAGCCUUACUUUUCUAGUCUGCUGUUAUACUGGCCAUUGAGACGAACAAUUUGGCUAGGGUAAAUCAUGACCAGCUGCCUGGAUGAGGCUGUACUUGCACCGGACCAUACAGGUUAAGGUUAAUGCAGGAAGCAAAGCUUUGCAAGAACAGAGAACAGAACAAAUCACAGGCACAGGUCAAAGCAUCUGAUAGAAUCUGAGCUGGUGUUUCCUCAAGUCUGAAUCUCGCUGAGGGAAGGAACUGGCGGAAAGAAGAACAUUCGUGGUCUUGCUGAAUGACUCAUUUUCCUUCUUUGACCCUCUGAGCUUCUGCUAUCAAGGUAUUUUUAGACAGGUCACACAACCUCAUAAGCCAGGGCAGGAAAAUGUCAGGGAGAAGAUGGAGUGGGCAAGGCAGGUGAGUGACGGCAGUUCAUAGCAGUCUCUUCUCUGAGAACUGAGCUCUGUAAUAGCUUCUGUGUUGGAAACUCUCACUGUGUGAGUUAGAAAUGGGCCAAAAGGUAGCUAUUAACAGUCCACUGAAGGUCUUACUUUAAUGUCCAAAGGGGCUCUUUGGAGCUGGCUCUUCCUGCAUGCCCUACAGAAGUCUUUUAUGUGGCUCACUCUUCCCAUGACCUCAGGAUCAAUAGUUUUACAGGGCAAAAUAUCAGAUACUCAAACAGUCUUCCUAGGGAGGUGGGUAAGGGGAACAUUGAUCUGAAGAUGUGUAUUUAGUAAACACCAGGCGGAAUCAAUGAAAUCUGUGAGAGUCACAGGGUGAGGAAGGGAGAGAGGCAAGAGAGUGGGAGUCAGAAAAGCUUCUAGAAAGAGAAGAAAUAUAAUAUCCAAAUCUAACUUUGAAGGGUGAAAUGAAAUCCUCACCAGAUUAAUAUUAGCUACAAGGUUGAAGCAACUCUGAGAUAUCAAGACUGGUAUUCUUUCCUGCAUUCCUCGGUAAUCAGUGGUUCUUUGGAACCGAGGUGACCAAAUUGUCCUGGAUUGUUUGGGACUUUCCUGGUUUUCAAAUGGAAAGUUUCAUGCCCCAGGAAUCCUCUCAGUCCCAGCAAACUGGACGAGUUGCUGGCUCUGAUGGUAAUAUGAGCAUCCCAUCCUCUGUGCCUCAGAAGAGAGAUGAUACAGUAGAACGCGGAGAACAAAAGAGCCAGUUCUUGGCUUCUGGGUUUCAAAGCCUAGACCCAGGUAUAAGGCAGGAUGAGACUGUAUGAUCAUGUAUAAAGGGCAAAGCUUCCAGCCCAGUUUAGAUACAGAUUCUGAGAUGGCCGGACAGGGUUAGGACCAGAUAUAAGGCACAGAUCCUAGACCAGUGUUGUCAACAGAACUUUCUAGGAUGACAGCAGUGUUCUAUAAUAAACACUGUGUUCUUCAGUGUGGUAGCCACCGGCCACAUAUGGUUAUUGAGCACUCAAGAUGUGGUUAGUAUUGCUAAUCUGGCAUAUGUUACCCAGUUUAAAUCUGAAUGAUCACAUGUGGCUAGUGGCUACUGUACUGCACGGCUUGGUCUUAGAUACGGCUGGGCCCUUUCCCCUGAACAGAGUCACGGGAGCAAGGGAGUUGAUGAAGCUGAAUGAUGGGUCCUCUGGAUAAGAUUGGGAAACCAAGAGCAGAGUGGAUCUGAGCCUCAUUGCUGGGGGUAGGAAGACUCUGAAAGUCCCUAAGCCAAUAAGACACAAGAGCAGAAGGUUUAUCUGUGCAAUGUGUCAAGACAGGCCCAAGGCAACCCCAAGGGGUUUCUGGGGUCCCAGGAUGCUGUGGGCAAUACACGGCCAUGGCACCCAGCACCGUGGAGCAAUCCAGACAUGCUUCAGGGACUUGGCGGAUCUGCAGGGGCUCCCGCAGAUAGACGGAGAUGUGCUCCUGCAGAUCAACAUAGAUGGAGAGACGCCUACCGUCUAGACCUGCCAUCUCGAGCCCACAUCAGCUCCCUGGAACUUCCUCAGAGCCCAGGGAGAAGCCAUGAGUCAACUGAGAUGAAGUCCCUGUCAUUUUCAGAAGGAAAGGGAGAUUUAACACAGACAUUACAUUCAGAGACAGAAAAAGAAAGUAAAAUUUCUUGCACAACUGAACAUAUAGACUGAGGCUUAUACCUUCUACACCCUCAUAUACUUACGUUUCCUCUUGCAUGGUGCUGUGCCAAGUAUGUGACAAGCAUUUACAUAAGUCUACAACAGUCUAUGAAAGAAGUACUAUUCCUACCUGCAUCUUACCAAUGAGGCAGCUGAAGCCCAGAAAGUUCUUGUAAAUUUCUUCUAGACACCCAAGGCUCAUAAAUGUUGCAGUCAAGAGUCCGUUCUAGGUUUGUCUUCCUUUCAAAACAUUUAACCUCUAUCCAGGUUGGAAUCUGUUUAUCUACUUCAAUUCCUAUUUUCUUUUAGAAACAAUGCCCUUCUUAUCUCAGAGAAGCCUUACUCGCUUUAAAUACAUGCUUUGAGUAGAGAUGGCCAAUCAGGAUAACUUACCACCCAGGCCAGAUGAGGAAGUAAUGACAUGGAUUCAAACCCCAUUUUGUUUCCUUUUGGGUACAUAGUGACUCCCUAUUUUGCAGGCGUUGUUGCGGCUACAUGGACUGUGUGAAUAGUUGCGGCCAGGGCAGUGUGUGAAUAUGGGAGGAUGCGACAUGUGUCUUUCACUCAGGAGACAGAGGGACAGGCAGACUGGGAGAUAUAAGGAAGCAAAGACAUAAAGCAAGUUAGGGGAGUAUGUCUAGGAAGGACAUGGCUGUAGUCCCUGCCCUAUAAUACAGAGUCAAUGCAAACAGAAGAGAAGAGCUACUACAUUUGUCCCACAAACCACAAACCUUGAGUUUCAAAAACAAGAAAGAGUCUUUGACUGUUGCAAGUUGUAAAACAAUCUCAGGCCUCAAAACUCACCCAGGAGGACUUGGGAUUUCAAAGCAGCAGAGCCUCCUAGGAGACCACACUUGUCAGCAUCUAGUUCAGACGUGCCAGGGGGAUGAUCAAGGUGGUGUUUUCCAGAGGCUAGAAUUAGAUCAAGUCAAGAAACCAGAACUGCUGUGGUCAAGGUGUGCCAUCCUUCUCUACUGAAGGGGAGCUGGUUUCCUGUCCCUACUCCUCCGAUGUGUGGGAAAUGGGACAGGCAGAUGACUGGCCUUCAAAUUCCCUAGUCACCAGAUCGCAGGGAGCCACAUCUGGUCACCCAGCAAGACCACAAAGCCCAGCUUCCUCUGUAACUCGGUAGAGCCACCUGACAGUCUUGGCCAAUGAACUGCAUAUGAGCAGAGAAGAGAGGGUUGGCAGAGGGGUCCCAAAGGUGGAGUUGAGCUGCCGUUGAGUAAACCAAAGGGACAACUUGGUAGGUAGAAUGGGGGAAGGGUCCUCUGUUCCUAUGGACUUGGGCCAGUUCUUUGUGGGAGUCACUCCUUUGGGGUUUUCUAGAAACGCCUGCUGUUGCAGUUGUAUGGAUUAUGUGCUGGACAAGAAGCCUUGCUGAGAGAAUAAGUAAAGGCUAAAUCCUCGCUCAUGUUCUGCUCACCUGCACGUGUCCUGACACUACUAGGCUGUGUCCACCGGCGACAAGGUCACGUAUAUCUCUACAGAAAGCAUCACCUCCUCGCUGAGCCAUGGACCAGGAGGGCUCUGCCUGCUAGAGGGAGCCAAGGGUUUCCCACUGGUUUUCCUCCUCUCCUAGGAGACACCUUUCUAAUUUGUGCAGAGGAGCCGCAUGGGCUAGUCUGGUGUCUCCAUCUCUGCAGUUUUGGCAUUGACCGGGUGGUUGCCAUGUCAGACUUCUGACCACUUCCCUGCUAUGACCUUGCUUUUACAGGUGGUGAAAAUAUGAUACUCUGGCUCCCCUAAAACUUUUAAUUUGGAAUAAAAUAAAAAGUAUAACCUCAUUUUCAAAGAUGUGUUGAGCAACACUCCUACUUCUUUCCAAGCUUCUUCCUCCCGUUUAUGGUGGGCAAGGAGGAAACGUGAGGCGCCCUUUGAGUGUUCCUGCAGCUCUCAGGACUGCCAGGAACUGCUGGAAACUUGCACUCAUUUUUAUUAUGAUCAUUUUUCUUCUUGCCUCCUUGAUUUGGUAUUUCUAGUAAACCUCCUCAUUAAAGCAAUAUUAAGCCAACUCAUACAUAUGUAUAUAGUCUCUUAAUUAUCUGUUGAUGGAUAUGGACUGUGAUACAUUUACAUAAUGAGCUUUUAAAACAUGCAGAUGCACUUUACAAUUAGACCCAGGUGGGGGCUGGGUGAGGCAGAACUUGGAUAAACAAGCUAACUUUCUCUCUUGACAAUACCCAAGGCACAUACGAGAGCGCCCCUGAAGUCUGAAGGUGCAAAUCUGUGCUGCUGAGGAGCUUAGUUCCUCCUUACAGAUUUCAGAUAAUAUUAGGGAUGUUGUUGAAUUAGAAGCCAGGCCAAGUGAAUUGCAAUUACAUCCUAUUCUGAAUGCUGAGAGUGAAGCAAAUAAAUCAGGAGAAGAGCAAUAAUGCAGUCAAGACGGGGAGGCGUAACUAGCGUGGUGAACACUCCCCUGUCCUUCAGGAUCUGCUAUCCAGCUCCCCUCCAUUCUGAGCACAGGGGAGAGGCACAUUGCCCACGCUGACAUUAGGCAUGGCCCUGAAAGAUGAGCAGACGUGAUAUUGGUCAACUUUGUACAAAAGUAUUGAAAAGCCAUUUUGUGAGAUUCCAAGUUCCCUUCAUUUUGCUUUGAGUCUGGAGAAACCCAAACGGUAGAGCUUCUGUCAGCCUGGGUUCUGGACUCGGGGGUGGCAUGGAGCAGAGACCACUAUCGAUAUAUGCUGUACAUGUAGCAUUAGCUAGAAACAAAAACUUUCUUGUUCAAGGCACUGAGGAUGGUUUGUUGUUGUAACAGUAACAAAGCCAAGCCCAUCCUGAUUGAUGAAGCCGAGACCAGAGACUUGAAUACUAUUCCAGGAACAACCUUUGCUAGAAAACUUAAAUCUAAGAGCUCAGUUCUGAAGAAAGAGUUCUGUAGCUCAGAAACAUUAAGGAAGCUAACACAAACCCAUCUUCCUUGUUCCCCCAAAGGGAGCAUUGAGGUAGGUUCCCUAAUCUUACACGUAAAAGACAGCACAGUCUUUUCAGUUUCACUGGGCUGACUGAUGUCCAUCCAGCUUCAGCACAG
ensembl:lncRNA